CCUACGGGAGGCAGCAGUGGGGAAUUUUGGACAAUGGGCGCAAGCCUGAUCCAGCCAUGCCGCGUGUGGGAAGAAGGCCUUCGGGUUGUAAACCACUUUUGUCAGGGAAGAAACGGCUUUUUCUAAUACAGAGAGCUAAUGACGGUACCUGAAGAAUAAGCACCGGCUAACUACGUGCCAGCAGCCGCGGUAAUACGUAGGGUGCAAGCGUUAAUCGGAAUUACUGGGCGUAAAGCGUGCGCAGGCGGCUUUGCAAGACAGAUGUGAAAUCCCCGGGCUCAACCUGGGAACUGCAUUUGUGACUGCAUGGCUAGAGUACGGUAGAGGGGGAUGGAAUUCCGCGUGUAGCAGUGAAAUGCGUAGAUAUGCGGAGGAACACCGAUGGCGAAGGCAAUCCCCUGGACCUGUACUGACGCUCAUGCACGAAAGCGUGGGGAGCAAACAGGAUUAGAUACCCUGGUAGUCCACGCCCUAAACGAUGUCAACUGGUUGUUGGACGGCUUGCUGUUCAGUAACGAAGCUAACGCGUGAAGUUGACCGCCUGGGGAGUACGGCCGCAAGUUGAAACUCAAAGGAAUUGACCGGNNGAGAGNGCGAGACGACACGAGGAGGAGG
rnacentral:rRNA from 1 species